GACGAACGCUGGCGGCGUGCUUAACACAUGCAAGUCGAACGGAAAGGCCCCUUUGGGGGUACUCGAGUGGCGAACGGGUGAGUAACACGUGAGUAACCUGCCCUUGCCUUCGGGAUAACUUCAGGAAACUGGGGCUAAUACCGGAUAGGAAUCCUUGCUGCAUGGUGGGGGCUGGUAAGCUUCGGCGGUUUUGGAUGGACUCGCGGCUUAUCAGCUUGUUGGUGGGGUAGUGGCUUACCAAGGCUUUGACGGGUAGCCGGCCUGAGAGGGCGACCGGCCACAUUGGGACUGAGAUACGGCCCAGACUCCUACGGGAGGCAGCAGUGGGGAAUAUUACACAAUGGGCGGAAGCCUGAUGCAGCAACGCCGCGUGCGGGAUGACGUCCUUCGGGUUGUAAACCGCUUUCAGCAGGGGCGAAGCUUGUGGUGACGGUACCUGCAGAAGAAGCACCGGCUAACUACGUG
rnacentral:rRNA from 1 species